rnacentral:snoRNA from 1 species
CCCUUCUCGGGGUGGCACCUGGAGAGUUUCCAGUCCUCUACCAGUCUCGACUAUGGGAGGGAGAGUCAAGCAGAGGCCUGUCCAUUCCAUUCCUAGCUUGGCUAGUGGCUGGCAAAUGGAAAGCCAUCUGCUACAAGU